ACCAUCACAUUUUACAUCACAAGGAAAUUACUUUACAAGAGUUUUCAAUAAUAGUGCAAAGUUCCAAAUUUAGAAAAGUUAUUACAAACUGUUAGAGUUAUGGUUUUUAGCAGCGGAAAACAUACGCGAUGACUUACGACACGUCGUCAAGAUGGAUGUCAUGCUAAGCCCGGGCACGACAUCACUCGGUAUCCUCAAUGUUGGUCGGGGACGGACCCCAUUCCACGGACCAACCUUCUGGAAGAACACAGGGCCAUGACAGGGGAAGAGUAGGGUCUUCAAAGGCUUUACCUGAAAAACAUAAAACUAGCAAGGCUGAGUAUACUAAUACUCAGCAAGGCUUACCCGGGAUUGGGUAUACUUUAGCCCAUAACUAGACUCAUGAAGGCAUUGUCGAGGCUUUGGGUUUAUUUUCAGCUGAAAAGCAACGGAGAGUAUAACUUACCUUCAAGUUUUAGCUUUCAGAUUCUAGUUUGAUUAGCCAUUCUAGGUAAGCACCUAUACUAAACAAGCAAGAUAGAGAUUAUCAUCCAUCAUAAUUAUUCCAUCGAUAAUUACACUUUUUACUUGAUGUGGCAGAAGGGAUAAGCAAUCUCAAUCCUCGUGAGAGGCGGACGAUUCGAAUCGAAUUUAACCUUGCAAGGUAAACCUAACACACACGCUUGGAACAUCCAACGAUGGUUUCGAAGCAACCGUUUGCCUUUCAUUCCGGGUCGUGGACAGGCCACCACAAGCGACUGCAGGACCGUACGCACACCCAAUGUGUACAGGACAUACGUCUGUAGCGCAACUACAAAACCCGUAUUCCUGUCUGCCUUGCAGAACGUACUCCCGCACGUCGGUGCGUGUGAACAUAAAACAAAGAUCGAGUGGUGGGAGGUAUGUCCACUUGCUGGGCCGAUUGGUUACUAGGCUUACCACUUACCAUAUUUCGCGGCAUGUGGCUAGUACUUUCAAACGCUUAGCCACCACUACCACACAUUUCGACCUUAAAGCUUUUAUCAAAACAGACAGGGUAAACUUUCAGGUCAUGAUACAGCACAUGACCCUGUCCGUCAUCCUUAUAGUGAUUGCAGAAUUGUAAACAAGCAACUCCUAUAUCGCGCGAGUGACAGGAAAUCACCCGACUUUUACCGGUCCUAUUUAGCAGAGCAUCUAAGUGAUAAGGACUCGGGUUCAAUACAUUGGAUUCCUAAGAGAUCAUGCAACUAGGGUUUCAUCUCAACUCCUAGACUUAAUGCAUAAGUAUAGAUAAAUAGACAUAGAUUGCAGUGUAAAUAAAGUAGUGGGAUAUGUCCGGGGCUUGCCUUUACUGGUGGGUCUGAAGUCAGUGAGUCAACAUCUUCCGAACUUUGGUUCGGGGCUUCAGUUAAUGCCUUGGUGACGUUCACUUGGUCUUCAGAAACAUCCUCCGUAAAUUCCGGGGAGAUCUCGUAGGUACCGUUGCCGAAGUAGUCGUAUCUACAUGCAAUGCAAUAUUACAUUCAAAGUGUGCAUAUAAAACUAUCUCACUUCAUAAUAAAGUUGCAAUCCAACACUCAUUUAACAUACUACUCACAUAACAACCAAAAGAUCUGAGACUAAACUUAGAUAGAGCUUUAAGAGGACAUCUAAUUAGAAUCGGCUACUUGUUGAAGAUUACAACAGAGCCGAUGGGAACAAUAUGGGUUUAGCCGAUUGAUGAGUGCAUCGGGUUCCUAGAUGAUCGAUGAAAGCAUCGAUUACUUUGGCAGAAGGAUGAUUCCUAAAGCAGUUGUGUUCUAUUUGAGAUGUGCUUAAGGAUUAUCCUGGGUAACUAGGUGUGGUUGUAUCGACUCGAUUACGUCAGCACAACUAUUGAGUGACAUACGGCCGAUGGCAAGAACCCUAAGAUCGUGUGUGCACCUCAAUUUGAUCGGCUAUGUGAUAGCCUAUGUAGGACGGAACAACAGAAUGUUACCGGCAGUAGCCGAUACUAGAAAGAUAACAACCGUUUCAGCUAACCAGCCGAUGGUAGAAGCUUUUCACAAGAAAUGCAUCGGCUGACAGCGGUUACGCAGAAACAUCGUAAACUCAAGGAAAGCGGAUGCUUAGCAGCUGAACUAAUAGCCAACGCUGAAGCAUAGCCGCAGAGAUGUUUUGGCUAAGCAGCAGACAUACACAAACUAACAGGGAUAAAAGCACUCAUAUGAAAGGUUUAACGAAACAUCACAUAUUUCUAUUUAAGAUCUAUAUUCCAUGGCUUACUUUUCAGUUACAACACAAGCAUACAACAUAAAGCACAAUAAAACAUUCAUUCCCUAACAUUUGACCUAAACCACACAUCAAAGACUUUCACUCAAGAUCAUAACAUAAAACUUAUAGGUUUUGACUUAGGGUUUCAAACGAAACUGAUUUUACAUUUUUAUGAACUUCUUAUGAAAAUCUAUGAAAUGUAGAAGUUCAUCGAUUUGAAAUACAGAAAGCUUUGGAAAUUUUACAAAGAACACCCUAGAACUUUCUAGAACGAAGCAAUCAAGUCCCUGGUUCGGGAAAAUAGAUAAUAGGAAGAUAAUGGCGAUACUCCGGCAAAGGAAUCGCCGGUAUUAAGGAGAUUCAGAGAAACAGGGCAAACCUUAGUUAUGGAAAAGAAUGGACGGAAAGUGAAGUCCCGUGGCGAUAGGAUCGGCGAAGAGAAAAACUCGAUGAUGACGAGACUCCAUGGAUGACGAAGAAGUUUGCCGGGGAUUGCAGUAGGUAGAGAAUGGCCGAAGAGGUAAUCCCCGCGGUGAUUUGCGGUCUUGCUCGGCGAUCGACGAGGAAUAGGAGUUGCUGGAUGUCAUGGACUCCUGGGACGAGACGAUGGAGCCGAAUGGGUUCGCUAUACCAAAGUCUCCGCGAACCUCAAGGUUCUCCUACUCACGGGUUACACCUUCACUGCCCAUGCGCGUGUGCUGCUGAGACACGGUCGGCACACCCGCGCAGUUGCUCCUUUUGAAUUCGCCGCGCUAUAACUGCCGCCUUCGUUUCGCUGCUUCUCCUUCCGAUUCGCCAUGCUACACUCCCACCUCCAUCUUCGCGAGGACCGUGGUCUGCUUGCACUAGGGCCGUGCCUUCCGUUGCCCUCUCCUUGACGGCCUCCGAUCACUGUAUUGCACAUCACCGCAGUUGGCAUCACUUCUCCCGCGGCCAACAUUUCAUCGAACACCUUAACUGCAUCUUUGAUACGGCAACUCCUGCACCACCAAAGAUCACCGUGGCAUAAACAGGGUCGACGCCACUGCGUUCCCGCAUCUCGCGCAGAAACACUUCACCACAACUCCUCCGGCGCGUGCCGUUGCUCGGCACGUCGUACUCCAGUAUCGCCUGCUCAUGCCCAUGGGUCCGCUCUGCUCCGGAUCGUUCGCCUCCGCUCAGAUCCUGUUCCUGUGCUCACACGCCUACGCUGCCUGCAUCGACGCCGUGCUUGCCCCAUCGCCCGUUCCUGCGUCGCGCGCGCUCACUCCGAGCCGCAAACGCACGCCUGCACUGGCUCAACGCCCUGGCCCACUUCGCUCUCCGCCAGCGCCCGAGCUUGAUGCCUGUGCCGCUCGCCAGUCACCCAGCACCGCACUUGCACAUGCUGCUGCUCUACCGUGCAAGUGCUGCCUGCACACCCUCAUGCUCCUGCUCGCGCCAGCACCACCCGCUUGGCUCCUGCGCGCUGCCUGCCUCCACUGCGCUGCCCCCUGCGCCUCCUGCGCGCAUUCCGCGUCUGCCUGUGCCGCGCCGCGUCCGCGCACAGCGCCGCGCUGACCUGGGCCCGCCUGCUCCCGCGCUCUGCCUGGGCCGCUGCCGCCGCUCGGGGCCCACGCCUGCGCUCGCCGUCCCGGCUCCUGC
rnacentral:lncRNA from 1 species